rnacentral:rRNA from 1 species
AAUGAGCGUUGGCGGCGUGGAUUAGGCAUGCAAGUCGUGCGUAAAGAGUAGCAAUACUCGGAAGCGGCGUAAGGGAGAGUAAUACAUAGGUAUUUACCCUGGGGUCUGGGAUAGCGGCGGGAAACUGCCGGUAAUACCAGAUGAUAUCUCCGGAUCAAAGGUGUGAUUCCGCCCUAGGAGAAGCCUGUGGUCUAUUAGCUAGUUGGUAGGGUAACGGCCUACCAAGGCAAAGAUGGANAUGGGGGC